GAUGAACGCUGGCGGCGUGCCUAAUACAUGCAAGUCGAGCGAACGGACGAGAAGCUUGCUUCUCUGAUGUUAGCGGCGGACGGGUGAGUAACACGUGGAUAACCUACCUAUAAGACUGGGAUAACUUCGGGAAACCGGAGCUAAUACCGGAUAAUAUUUUGAACCGCAUGGUUCAAAAGUGAAAGACGGUCUUGCUGUCACUUAUAGAUGGAUCCGCGCUGCAUUAGCUAGUUGGUAAGGUAACGGCUUACCAAGGCAACGAUGCAUAGCCGACCUGAGAGGGUGAUCGGCCACACUGGAACUGAGACACGGUCCAGACUCCUACGGGAGGCAGCAGUAGGGAAUCUUCCGCAAUGGGCGAAAGCCUGACGGAGCAACGCCGCGUGAGUGAUGAAGGUCUUCGGAUCGUAAAACUCUGUUAUUAGGGAAGAACAUAUGUGUAAGUAACUGUGCACAUCUUGACGGUACCUAAUCAGAAAGCCACGGCUAACUACGUGCCAGCAGCCGCGGUAAUACGUAGGUGGCAAGCGUUAUCCGGAAUUAUUGGGCGUAAAGCGCGCGUAGGCGGUUUUUUAAGUCUGAUGUGAAAGCCCACGGCUCAACCGUGGAGGGUCAUUGGAAACUGGAAAACUUGAGUGCAGAAGAGGAAAGUGGAAUUCCAUGUGUAGCGGUGAAAUGCGCAGAGAUAUGGAGGAACACCAGUGGCGAAGGCGACUUUCUGGUCUGUAACUGACGCUGAUGUGCGAAAGCGUGGGGAUCAAACAGGAUUAGAUACCCUGGUAGUCCACGCCGUAAACGAUGAGUGCUAAGUGUUAGGGGGUUUCCGCCCCUUAGUGCUGCAGCUAACGCAUUAAGCACUCCGCCUGGGGAGUACGACCGCAAGGUUGAAACUCAAAGGAAUUGACGGGGACCCGCACAAGCGGUGGAGCAUGUGGUUUAAUUCGAAGCAACGCGAAGAACCUUACCAAAUCUUGACAUCCUUUGACAACUCUAGAGAUGGAGCUUUCCCCUUCGGGGGACAAAGUGACAGGUGGUGCAUGGUUGUCGUCAGCUCGUGUCGUGAGAUGUUGGGUUAAGUCCCGCAACGAGCGCAACCCUUAAGCUUAGUUGCCAUCAUUAAGUUGGGCACUCUAAGUUGACUGCCGGUGACAAACCGGAGGAAGGUGGGGAUGACGUCAAAUCAUCAUGCCCCUUAUGAUUUGGGCUACACACGUGCUACAAUGGACAAUACAAAGGGCAGCGAAACCGCGAGGUCAAGCAAAUCCCAUAAAGUUGUUCUCAGUUCGGAUUGUAGUCUGCAACUCGACUACAUAAAGCUGGAAUCGCUAGUAAUCGUAGAUCAGCAUGCUACGGUGAAUACGUUCCCGGGUCU
rnacentral:rRNA from 1 species